GAGACUCUGUGCGCGUGCAUAUCAAUAAGCGGAGGAAAAGAAACUAACAAGGAUUCCCUUAGUAACGGCGAGUGAAGCGGGAAGAGCUCAAAUUUGAAAUCUUCAAGGUUUGACCUUGACGAAUUGUAGUUUAAAGAAGUGUUUUCGGUUAGAGGAGUAGUAAAAGUUCUUUGGAAUAGGACAUCAUAGAGGGUGAGAAUCCCGUAUUUGAUCUACUUUCUACUAGCUUUGUGAUACACUUUCAAAGAGUCGGAUUGUUUGGGAAUGCAGUCCAAAAUGGGUGGUAAAUUUCAUCUAAAGCUAAAUAUUGGCGAGAGACCGAUAGCGAACAAGUACCGUGAGGGAAAGAUGAAAAGAACUUUGAAAAGAGAGUUAAACAGUACGUGAAAUUGUCAAAAGGGAAGCGUUUGACACCAGUGUUGUUUAGUUCGAAAAUCAAUUACGAAUGUUUUGUUUUUAAGAAGUUAUGACUUCAUCGGCUUGCUUCUUUCUUUACGAAACUUUCUUAAUGCACUUUUCGGUUAACAAGUCAACAUCAAUUUCUUUUGUUGUAAAAGGUUAAGAGGAAGGUGGCUUUACUUUCGGGUAAAGUGUUUAUAGCCUUUUAACUCUGCAAUCGGAGAGAUUGAGGUCUGCAGCGUAGAUCCUUCGGGGUUAGAUACGUUUGUGCUAAGUUAUAGCUUUUCAUAGACAACUUGUUGACUAUGUUAAGUCUUGUAAUUUACUCGCAGAUGCUAUUUUACCUACGCUUAGGAUGUUGACGAUCAGCUGAGCGCG
rnacentral:rRNA from 1 species